GAUAUAACAACUUACACCUAUCAUGUCCAGAAGUGUUAAUAUUUUUGUAUUAGGUUGAAAACAAAAACAAUGUGCAACUUUCUAUCACUUAGAUAGAUAGGACUGUGCAAUCCUCAGUGGGUGGCUAAUCGGAGAACUUUUUCUUCGUCCCCCUUUCUUAACAAGCCACUGGCCUCAGCCAUUACCAACCAAGAGGCGCAGUCGACAUCCAAGGCUGGUGGAAUGUGAUGGAGGGUGUGGGGGAGGGGAGCAGAGAGAGAAGAACCCGAGGGGGAGAAGAGGCUCUCUAGGCCCUUAAAGGUCAAGCCAAGUUCAUCAACCAGAGCUUUUAAUAGUGUAUGGUCGUCCCUCCAUGCUCCACUUGUGAUGGAGAAGAGACCACAGUCUGAUGCUCGGGAACAUUUGUGGGGAGGGACGGACUUGAUGUCAUGGUAACCAUGAACAUGUAUCUUAAUGUCUAGGAGCGAUAGCAAUAACCGAGUGGUCAUGAGCCAGGGGCGACCGGCCAGUCAGGGUCACUCUCUGUGGGGCUUGGAGUUGGACCCUUAGGUCAGCCAGUGGGAUCGAAACAGGAAGGCAAGCUCCUGUUAAGCCCGAAUGGCCCAACCAUCACAGGGAAUGGUUUGAGCGGCAGCCUAUGCUGGCCAGGGGUAGCCUGGGGUAUUGGGCAGGGUAGGAAGAAAACUGACAUCAGUGCCCCCACCCCCCACCCCCGACCGAAAGCUUGGGGUUCCACCAUAGACACCAUCUGCACUUCCGUGCCAACCCAGCCACUCUGGAGUCUUUCGUGAGCACUGAAUUCAGCCACAAAAAUAUUUUUAGAAGAUAUUUCUCAGUUCAUUGAGCUAUAUAGUACACACUGUUUUCCUCUCUAUAUGAUGGUGAUAAAUAUAGCAAGUGAACAUGUCGUAAAUAUAAAGGUUCAAGUGAUGUAUUGAAAGUAAUUUUCUAACUGCUUUGUGUGUAUCACAUACUCUAAAUACACAGUAGGCGUGUUUAUUAAACAGACUGGCUGGGAGCGUUCUCAGACAGCGACGGAACUUACGGUCUCAGCGCUGCUCCUGUUGCUGUGUAUGUGGUAGGGUAUACUGAAGUAAUUAAUCUUCUAAUGAAUGCUGAUAUUUUACUAGAAUGAAAGCACAGAUUAGCAUUAAAUAUUUUUUAUCCUGAAAAUCCUUUGGCAAGUACUGGGGAGCCCAAAUUUAGAAAACUAUGAGAUUUUCAAACAUGGCUGUCGGACGUUUUAUUUUUUAACUGUUACCUUAGGUGUUUGCAGUUCUGCUGAGUGGGACUUCCGCAGGGCUGUUAUGUAGCAUGCUGUAAGUACUCUGGGGUGAAACGGGCCCCGAGUCUCAAUUCUCAGAAAUGUCUGUGAUGUAUUGACCAUGAAUAGCUUGUACCACAUGACGGAAAUGAAAUUACACUCUUAACCCCUUCUCAACAUGGACUGGUCUUUACAGGGGCACCAAUAAAUGACAAAUUUGGAGAGUCUCCUGGUGCUUAUUUUAGAAGUCAAACCAACCCAAUUAGUAUCUUGUUAGUAGAUAUAAUGAGCCUAUUUCUUUCUAAAAAGGCUUGUGGUCUGGACGUGCUUUUACAAGAAAUAGUGACCUUGGGGAAUAUAUAAACAAGAGAUCUUUUUCUAAGAGUUUGGGGGGAGGUUGGGGACCUGUAUAAUGACAAAAAUUAGCUUACAAUAAUGACAACAACAAAAAGUAAAAAUAAAAACAAAAGAAAUUGAUAUUCAAAGUAUUUUAGGCAAAGCCAGUCAAGAUGCUUUCAUGAUAUUUUGAGAUGUAAAUUUUUGUCUGAUUUGUAUUGUUCUUUUCAUUUGCCUUCUUAACUUUCUAUGUGACCUGAAUUUUCCAUAACUUGAUGACUAUAGACUGCAUCUAGGCAUUCCAAUAAAAGCCAACCCAAUGUG
rnacentral:lncRNA from 1 species